AGCCGCCUCCCAUACUGGUGAUGACCAUAUGCAGCCAAUGUUGAUGUGAACCUGAGUGAUGAACAAAUGCAGACCUGCAAAGGAGCUGUUCUGAGGCACCAUGCUUACUCAAGUCAUGCAGCGAGAGUCAGCAUGCCUGGAAAAGUACUUCAAAGCACACCCCAUCUGGCUGACUGCACUACCUCAAGAAAAAUGCCUUUCUCCCAUCUGCAAGUUUCUAAGAAGUUACUUUAUGAAGCAAGCCAGCAGGGGGUACGUGUUAG